AGUGAACUACGUUUGUAGCGGCAUCCUUUUUAUUUGAACAUUGAGGUUCUCGAAAUGACCAAAUAAAAAGAUACAGCGGAUAGCCCGAGCCUUG
rnacentral:sRNA from 1 species